UGGGAAUAUUGCACAAUGGGGCGAAAGCCUGAUGCAGCGACGCCGCGUGAAGGAUGAAGUAUUUCGGUAUGUAAACUUCUAUCAGCAGGGAAGAAAAUGACGGUACCUGACUAAGAAGCCCCGGCUAACUACGUGCCAGCAGCCGCGGUAAUACGUAGGGGGCAAGCGUUAUCCGGAUUUACUGGGUGUAAAGGGAGCGCAGACGGAAGAGCAAGUCUGAUGUGAAAACCCGGGGCUCAACCCCGGGCCUGCAUUGGAAACUGUUUUUCUGGAGUACUGGAAGGGCAGGCGGAAUUCCUGGUGUAGCGGUGAAAUGCUUAGAUAUCAGGAGGAACACCGGUGGCGAAGGCGGCCUGCUGGACAGUAACUGACGUUGAGGCUCGAAAGCGUGGGGAGCAAACAGGAUUAGAUACCCUGGUAGU
rnacentral:rRNA from 1 species